CCUACGGGUGGCAGCAGUGGGGAAUAUUGCACAAUGGGGGAAACCCUGAUGCAGCGACGCCGCGUGAGGGAAGAAGUAUUUCGGUACGUAAAGCUCUAUCAGCAGGGGAGAAAAUGACGGUACCUGACUAAGAAGCCCCGGCUAACUACGUGCCAGCAGCCGCGGUAAUACGUAGGGGGCAAGCGUUAUCCGGAUUUACUGGGUGUAAAGGGAGCGUAGACGGCAGCGCAAGUCUGGAGUGAAAUCCCAUGGCUUAACCAUGGAACUGCUUUGGAAACUGUGCAGCUAGAGUGCAGGAGAGGUAAGCGGAAUUCCUAGUGUAGCGGUGAAAUGCGUAGAUAUUAGGAGGAACACCAGUGGCGAAGGCGGCUUACUGGACUGUAACUGACGUUGAGGCUCGAAAGCGUGGGGAGCAAACAGGAUUAGAUACCCCAGUAGUC
rnacentral:rRNA from 1 species